rnacentral:rRNA from 1 species
UACGAACCGUGCGAACGUUAUUCGGAAUCACUGGGCUUAAAGCGCGUGUAGGCGGCCCGGCGCGUCGGAUGCUGAAAUCCCCCGGCUCAACCGGGGAAGGGGCGCCGAUACGGCCGGGCUGGAGGGGGGUAGGGGGCGCUGGAACUCACGGUGGAGCGGUGAAAUGCGUUGAGAUCGUGAGGAACGCCCGCGGCGAAAGCGAGCGCCUGGACCCUUUCUGACGCUGAGACGCGAAAGCCAGGGGAGCGAACGGG